rnacentral:rRNA from 1 species
GACAGAGGGUGCAAACGUUGUUCGGAAUUACUGGGCGUAAAGCGUGUGUAGGCGGCUUUGCAAGUCGAACGUGAAAUCCCUGGGCUCAACCCAGGAACUGCGUCCGAUACUGGCAGGCUUGAAUCCGGGAGAGGGAUGUGGAAUUCCAGGUGUAGCGGUGAAAUGCGUAGAUAUCUGGAGGAACACCGGUGGCGAAGGCGGCAUCCUGGACCGGUAUUGACGCUGAUGCGCGAAAGCCAGGGGAGCAAACGGG